rnacentral:misc_RNA from 1 species
AACGCAAAUUGCGCCCGAGGCUUCGGCCAAGGGCAUGUCUGCUUGAGCGCCGCUGGACCCCCCUCGCUCUAUCAUUUGCUGCACUGUUCCGGCAAUGCAGCGAUGAUUUUGCGGAUGAUGGCAGUCUCGAUCUAUGGGUCUCGACUCAAAUGUUUUUGCAUUUUUGUUUUGACCCACGAGUCAGCUGGAAUUUAAGGGCACGCCAAUGGUUUGAUUUCGGUUUCCGGCGUGGACGAUGCUGUCUAUGACUUUGUCACUCCGCUCGGGUACACCGAUUCGAAAUGGGUCUUUUGAUCCACCAUUGGAAUGCCGAAAACAUUUUGAAGCCGUUGAUGACUUCAUCGUCAACCUUCAUACUUGUUUUUAACCCCCUUACCUUGGCCUCAAGUCAGGCAGGAGCACCCGCUGAAUUUAA